ACAGAGGGGGCAAGCGUUGUUCGGAAUUACUGGGCGUAAAGGGCGCGUAGGUGGCCUGUUAAGUCGAACGUGAAAUCCCCGGGCUCAACCCGGGAACUGCGUCCGAGACUGGUUGGCUUGAAUCCGGGAGGGGGAUGUGGAAUUCCAGGUGUAGCGGUGAAAUGCGUAGAUAUCAAGAGGAACACCUGAGGUGAAGACGGGUUGCUGGGCAGUUACUGACACUGAGGCGCGACAGCGUGGGGAGCAAACAGGA
rnacentral:rRNA from 1 species